rnacentral:misc_RNA from 1 species
AACGCACAUUGCGCCCUUUGGUAUUCCGAAGGGCAUGCCUGUUCGAGCGUCAUUAUCACCCCUCAAGCCCGUGGGCUUGGUGUUGGACGGUUCGGCGGGAGGCCCUCGGGCCCUCGUCCCUCCCAAAGACAAUGACGGCGGCCCCGUUGGACCCCCGGUGCAUUGAGUUCUUCCACAAGGACACGCAUCGGAGUGAGGGUGCGCGGAGCCCGGUCUACCUCCCAGCCGGGAGAAUAUUUUUCAAGGUUGACCUCGGAUCAGGUAGGGAUACCCGCUGAACUUAA